UACACUGCCAAUAAUACAAGUGCACACUUUCUAUGCAACAAAAAUGGAUCUGGUUUCAAGUUUGGUUCAAGAAAGUAAUUUCAUUCUACGCAGUUCACAACAAACUGACAUUAGCUACAUUUUUAUUAUUAGAUGGGAUCCAGUUUCAAAGAAAAAACAUUAUUGUUUCUGUGACAUCACUUAGCCAAUCAUAAUUUUUGCUCAGGUAACUCAAGGAAAAAAUCCAUCUCUCAGCACUUUGUUGCUAACUGUGGUGUCAAUGAAGUUUGCUUAUGGUAAUUAGGAGAGAAUGAACACUAAUGGGAGUGGAUUAAGACAUGUCUACAUGGAAAGCAUAAAGCAUAAAACAUGUGUGAUGUGGAUGAGAGAGGAAAACAUAAAGCAUAACACAUAAAGCAACAUGAGCAUAUGGUCCUCCUUGUACCUUGGACGAAAUUCACACAAAGAGACCACCUAGUCUACUCCAUUUUUGUCAUCUUAUGUAUUAGGUUUAACCUAGUUUCUAGAGGCUAGAGUUUUGUAAUUGUUUAGCUACCCUUUUGCACUUUUGGUUUUUGUUUAGAGGCCCCUAUAACUUUCUAUUUAAGGGGUGCUCUUUGACAUGUACGAUGGUUGAUCAAUUUGAGUAUUUUCUAUAUUGUUUCAACCACAUUUUCGUGAGCUUUUCCUCCAAGGAGUGGAGGUUCUCCUUUGCCUUGUCUUAAGUAAUCAAGUGACGACACAACAUCACUUAUCUCCAAGGGUUGGUUAGCCUUAUGGCCCCACUAUGAGUGGCAUGCUCCCUUGCUCCAUUACCAUCUUCUUAUGCUUCCAUAUUCUUCUUGUUUUCCUUCAUUUUAA